AACGAACGCUGGCGGCAGGCUUAACACAUGCAAGUCGAACGCGCCCUUCGGGGCGAGUGGCAGACGGGUGAGUAACGCGUGGGAACCUACUUUUUGGUACGGAAUAACUCAGGGAAACUUGAGCUAAUACCGUAUGUGCCCUUCGGGGGAAAGAUUUAUCGCCAAAGGAUGGGCCCGCGUCGGAUUAGCUAGUUGGUGGGGUAAUGGCCUACCAAGGCGACGAUACGUAGCUGGUCUGAGAGGAUGAUCAGCCACACUGGGACUGAGACACGGCCCAGACUCCUACGGGAGGCAGCAGUGGGGAAUAUUGGACAAUGGGUGCAACCCUGUGCCAGCCAUGCCGCGUGAGUGAUGAAGGCCUUAGGGUUGUAAGGCUCUUUCGCCGGUGAAGAUAAUGACGGUAACCGGAGAAGAAGCCCCGGCUAACUUCGUGCCAGCCGCCGCCGUAACAC
rnacentral:rRNA from 1 species